UGGAGACCGAGUUAAGGGCUCUCCAGACUGCGCUCAGAGCUUGAUGCUUCCAGGAGGCUAGUCAAGGGACAAAGGAAGCGCUUGCUGGGCGGCGGUAGAAGCCGCUCCUCUGCGCUGUUAACUUGCAAAGUUUUCCUAGAGUAGUCGCUCCCGUCGGCGGGGAGGAGCCUCGCUUCCCACCCGCCCUUUGUGUGCUAAGUGUGUGUUUCCGUCGUUGUCGCAGCCCUGGAGCUGGUCCGCUUGCGCUGCGGUAGCCUGGAAGGAACGGGUCUUAGGGCCGGGCCCUCGGUCUUUCUCAGCGAAGAUAAUAUCCACGACGGGCGCUCCGUGCAUCACGAGGCCGUUCCCGUGCGGACUCAACCACGCACAGUACAGUCUGCCCUGCCCCAGAUGGGCUGAGCCUAGGAAGUUUCGAGGAUGGGUAGAGCGCAGCGUGUAAUGUUUUUUUUGUUUUUUUUUUUUUCAGUCUCAAACAUAAACACGCUAAUAGCACAGUUCACAUGUUGUGUCAUGUGAAUUUUCUUUUUUGGCUUAAAUUUGGAUAACAGUGCUUGUGAGAUUUUUAACAUUGUUUUAAAACUGAUGUGAGAAAAUAGGGUGUCCUGUAGGUUUAUGGAAUGCAACAGGAACAAAUGAACCCACGGGACCAAAGAUCAGAGACCUGAAUAUGUAUCUUCAUCUCCAGUCCCAAGCCCUCAUCGGCUCAUCACCCCCAAUGUCAUUCCCCUUCCAGAAUGGGUAACUGUUCUGCCAGGAUGGAAAUAUAGGCCUAAGAGUAAAUUCAACUCUGUGGGAUAAACAUUUUCUCACAGGGCUAAGAUUGUUCCCAAUUGUCAUUCAGCCUCCUAAAAUACUUUCUCAAACAGCUGAUAGCAAUAGUAUGCAGAGCAAACUCAUGAGAAAGAAAAGGAUACACAAAGGUAUAAACACCUGCUUUGCAGGUCCUCCAACCCUGGGAAGUAGUAAAUUAUAUUUUAUAAAAAAAAAUUGGCAUUCGGGGCCAAAGAGGAUUUCUUUCAUUGUAAUCUUCCCUAGUAGACACAAUGCCCAUCACACCAGUUUAUUUCUCCACAAACCUGGAGUCUAAACAGAAAACACUCUCUACAGAACCCAAAUGGCAACUGCCCAAAAGAAGACCAGAAGGACGCUCUGAAUUGUGAAAAAGAUUGGCCCUUGUGAAGGCAGGGUCUCACUGACUGCUACUGCUCUGACACCUGCCAGAUCACCUUGUACACAGUGAAUACUCAACAUGUUGAAUAAACAAACAAACUGUAAAAUCACA